ensembl:miRNA
AUGCUCCCUCUGCGAUGCGAGAUGCAGAGCUCGCUGAAAUGCUUGAGUUUGUAAUGGCUUUGAGCGGGAUCUGUUAUCGUGCAUAUUUGGGCUCAU